rnacentral:rRNA from 1 species
UGAGGAAUAUUGGUCAAUGGUCGGGAGACUGAACCAGCCAAGCCGCGUGAGGGAUGAAGGUACAGAGUAUCGUAAACCUCUUUUGUCAGGGAACAAAAGGCGCCACGCGUGGCGCUCCGAGUGUACCUGAAGAAAAGCAUCGGCUAACUCCGUGCCAGCAGCCGCGGUAAUACGGAGGAUGCGAGCGUUAUCCGGAUUUAUUGGGUUUAAAGGGUGCGUAGGCGGCGAGUUAAGUCAGCGGUAAAAGCCCGGGGCUCAACCCGCCGCCGUGAAACUGGCUUGCUUGAGUUGGAGAGAAGUAGGCGGAAUGCGCGGUGUAGCGGUGAAAUGCUUAGAUAUCGCGCAGAACUCCGAUUGCGAAGGCAGCCUACCGGCUCCAGACUGACGCUGAGGCACGAAAGCGUGGGUAUCGAACAGGAUUAGAUACC